UACACGAUAACUUUCUAAUGACUCGGAAGAUCCUAAUGCUCUUGGUUAGUCCAAUGUCAAUGUAUUAGAACAUUAGCGUCCUUUAAAUAGUGUGAGAUGUGAUUGCUGAAUAUCAGUAGGCGUGCUAUCAAGUGCCGAGUAUAUUGUAUUAUAAUAACUAAACAUGAAGUUCUCAUUAGUGUGUGUGUUGUUGAUGUCCGUGUUUAUGUUGUUUAUUACAAAGAGCUCUGCCAACCCUAAAGUUAACUUCGGAGCUAUUAAAAAAGGCCUCGGUGUUCUGAGUGCGGCGGGCAUGGCUGAAAACUUAUAUGAAGAAUGGAAACACAAACAUGGACACUAAUAUAGAUUUAGUUCAAUAAAUAAAAUUUUAACACGAUCUUGA